rnacentral:rRNA from 1 species
UACGGAGGGUGCGAGCGUUGUUCGGAAUUACUGGGCGUAAAGCGCACGCAGGCGGCUCGAUAAAUUAGAAGUGAAAGCCCCGGGCUUAACCUGGGAAUUGCUUUUAAGACUGUCGGGCUAGAAUCCAGAAGAGGGUAGUGGAAUUCCGAGUGUAGAGGUGAAAUUCGUAGAUAUUCGGAAGAACACCAGUGGCGAAGGCGACUACCUGGUCUGGCAUUGACGCUCAUGUGCGAAAGCGUGGGGAGCAAACAGG